rnacentral:rRNA from 1 species
GUGAGGAAUAUUGCGCAAUGGGGGAAACCCUGACGCAGCGAUGCCGCGUGGGUGAAGAAGGCCUUCGGGUCGUAAAGCCCUGUCAGGCGGGAAGAAUAGCCCUAGGGUGAAUAUCCCUGGGGUGUGACGGUACCGCCGAAGGAAGCACCGGCUAACUCCGUGCCAGCAGCCGCGGUAAGACGGAGGGUGCUAGCGUUAUUCGGAAUUAUUGGGCGUAAAGGGUGUGCAGGCGGUCGGUCAAGUCAGAUGUGAAAGCCCGGGGCUCAACCUCGGAAGUGCAUUUGAAACUGGUCGACUUGAGUUCGGGAGAGGGAAGCGGAAUUCCGGGUGUAGAGGUGAAAUUCGUAGAUAUCCGGAGGAACACCGGUGGCGAAGGCGGCUUCCUGGACCGAAACUGACGCUGAGACACGAAAGCGUGGGGAGCAAACAGGAUUAGAUACCCGGGUAGUCC